UGGUAUUAAACCGCCUUGUUAACUCGCAGACUGCUUUCCAGACACCUCCGGCCCACACAGCCGUUCACCCCCCGUCUUUUCAGUCCUGGAAAAGGAAUUCGGUCUGUCCUUAGGAUGAAGCUCUAACUGAACUGAAGUAAGGAGAAACAGCCUUGAAUCUUUGGAGGGUCUGUCUUCCUUUUGGGCUCUGUGCAACUGCAGCUACAGUGGAAAAAAGCAAACUGCUCUU
rnacentral:ncRNA from 3 species